rnacentral:tRNA from 1 species
GAGGAUAUAGCUCAGUGGUAGAGUGCACGCUUAGCGCGCACAAGGUCCUGGGUUUGAUCCCCAGUACCUCCA